rnacentral:rRNA from 1 species
UUUAAAUGUAAAUUUUUAUACUAUAGAAGUAUUAGUUAUGUUCUUUAAAUUAAAAGAUUUUGGCGGUAUUUUAGUCUAUUCAGAGGAACCUGUUCUAUAAUUGAUAGUCCACGAUUAAUUUUACUUAAUUUAUUAAUUUGUAUAUCGUCGUUAUUAAUUAUUUUAAAAGAAUAAAAAUUUUUAAUAUUUUUUAUAAUAAAAUAAAUCAGAUCAAGGUGCAGUUUAUAAUUAAGAAGAGAUGGGUUACAAUAAAUUUAUUUAAAUGGAUUUAUUAUUUAAAAUUAUAUAAUGAAAAUGGAUUUGAUAGUAAUAAAAUUAAUUUAAUUUUUAUGAUUAUAGCUCUAAAAUAUGU